rnacentral:rRNA from 1 species
UGCGAGCGUUGUCCGGAAUUACUGGGCGUAAAGAGCUCGUAGGUGGUUUGUCGCGUUGUUCGUGAAAUCUCACGGCUUAACUGUGAGCGUGCGGGCGAUACGGGCAGACUUGAGUACUGCAGGGGAGACUGGAAUUCCUGGUGUAGCGGUGGAAUGCGCAGAUAUCAGGAGGAACACCGGUGGCGAAGGCGGGUCUCUGGGCAGUAACUGACGCUGAGGAGCGAAAGCGUGGGGAGCGAACAGGAUUAGAUACCCUGGUAGUCCACGCCGUAAACGGUGGGUACUAGGUGUGGGUUUCCUUCCUUGGGAUCCGUGCCGUAGCUAACGCAUUAAGUACCCCGCCUGGGGAGUACGGCCGCAAGGCUAAAACUCAAAGAAAUUGACGGGGGCCCGCACAAGCGGCGGAGCAUGUGGAUUAGUUCGAUGCAACGCGAAGAACCUUACCUGGGUUUGACAUGCACAGGACGCCGGCAGAGAUGUCGGUUCCCUUGUGGCCUGUGUGCAGGUGGUGCAUGGCUGUCGUCAGCUCGUGUCGUGAGAUGUUGGGUUAAGUCCCGCAACGAGCGC